UCUCUCUCUCUCUCUCUCCCUGUACCUGCGUGCGCGUGAGAAUUUUGCUUUUGCGGUUUUUGGGGGCUGGGCAUCUGCUAUGACGCUGAGAAGUGCCGGAACUGUGCGAAUGCACCGUUGGAUUAUGUUGCAACGUAGGAUCGACGAUCAAGAUUGUGUUGUGGAUAUUAGCGGUUUGAUGGGGAAAUGCGAACCGCUUUUGUUAGGGCCGGGAGAAAUCUGACCGUUGCAUGGGAAAUUUAGGUGCAUAACAAGGUGGGAUUGAUGUUGACCAUAAGGACAAAUGACCGGCUGUCUCAUUGGUGGGUAGUUUGCAAGAGCAUUGAAUUUCACCCAGUGGGUUGUGGACCCAUCAGUUACCUUGACUCUUCCUUCCCGCCACUGCAUCUCUCCCUCCCUCUUCAGAUCCAUCCGACUUCCCUGUGUCAUCUGAACAACCAGGUUGGCAUUUCCCAGCCAAGAUUUCUCUCUAUUAUUGAACAUUUCUGAAGAGGAAAAGAACAGGCUUGUUAUCAAGACGCAUCGGGUUGCCCGAUCAAGAGGGAUGAGUUUACUCAGAUAGUGACUAGAAACUACCGCCAGCGUUUGCUUCCUCCUUUGGUGAUUAAUGAGGCCAUAACCAAACUCUCGAACAUUUUUGGGGUUGAGAUGAUAUAGAGCUUCAAAGAUCUCGCCCUUCCUCAACGACUCAGCAAAAUAUUUGCAGAAAGACAAAGUUAAUGGCCCUGAAGGAAAUGCUUUGGUUUAUGAGCUUGCUGAGGGAGCUGUAGAUGGCCCAGUUAAUGAUAGAAUUAAAGAAUAAAUAUCACAGAUUGUCAAAAAGGAAGUUCCUAGUGUGGAAAUGGACUGAUAUGAUGUCCUAGAGCAAACUCUUUAGCAACUAGAGGAGGUGACCCACAGUUUCAUCUUAUCAAGUGACUUUGCCUGCCUUGUGGGAUUGUCACUUGUACAUCAGCUGUUGAUGCCUUCUGCAGUAGAUGAUAUGAAGUUUGCUUCUCAAUGAGGAAGCCAGGAAAGCUUAUGCAAGGAAGAAAGAAGAAAGUAGUUUACAUGCACAUUCUG
rnacentral:misc_RNA from 1 species